AUAUCAAUAAUAUACAUAAUAACUUAAUUUGUACCAGCAAGUACUCAAAUAACAUAGAGCUACUCUAUGCUGCUUAACAUUCGAGCUAACAGCUGUAACUGCUCGUUAACAGCUGAGUUUAACAGUGCAAUUAUACUCAAACUAACAGAGUGCUAAAUUGUGAGUGAAAAAAACCGGCGCACAGAAAUUAAGCAGGCGAUCGAAAUUCGAGUGUGAACAAUCCGUCGCAUUGCUUAGAGCAUGGUGCACACCCGCACAAACACGAGAUGAGUCAAGGCCGGAGAUAAGCAGCCAGCAGUUCGUGUGUGUGUUCGCUGUCAUUUAUCUAGUUACGCUCACGCGCUCACGAUUCUUUACGGCGCUGAUCGCUGAUUGGUCCAAUCAAAAACUGCCGGCAGUAAUGUUCUCUGCGCUCUGCUCUCUGAGCGCAGCUUUGAUGCAGCUGCGCAACUUUCGUCUGAGUCAGUGUGGCCCUAUAAGUGAAUAGGGCAUGUUGUUGUGCUCCGCGGGCUAUUCCAUUAAGCCUGUAAUUAUUUUCUUAUACGUCUUCCCGGAUCUGAUGCGUAAGCAGAUAAGGCUAUUAUUUGGCGAUUAUACCUGCAUACAUAACAUAUGUUUAGAUAACACAUGUUUGUGUGUGUGUUUUCGCACUUGAUACCUGCUAAUGCUUGCUUGAGCGUUAACUAGCUUUGAACAGGGAUUACUACAGUUUGUGGGUUUCUUGCUCCAUGUGCUGUGCGCCGAGCACUUGAGUGAAACUCUUUGAGUAACAUUAUAAGGAAAACUGCUCGGAUUAAUAUCGUCCAUGUCGCAAAUAUCAAUUGACAUGUAAAACAAUUGCCCUGAAAUUUCUUACUGCUCUGUCGACUUUGGCGAUUUUGAAGACUCACGGACCCCAAAAGCUAAAUCUGCCAAGGACAAUAAUUUUGAGACCUGAAUGAGCUUGGAUAUAUGCUCAUGCCAUGGAUAUAUGUUACCUUUAACAAAAUCGUAUUUUAAUUUUGUUGCUGUCAAUCUGCGUCGAUUCUUAAAUCAACAUUUUGUAGAAUUCUGCCGAUCUUAAAGACUAAUCCUGCCAACCUUCAUGGACAAUAUAUAA